rnacentral:rRNA from 1 species
GAUGAACGCUGGCGGCGUGCCUAAUACAUGCAAGUCGAGCGAACAGACGAGGAGCUUGCUCCUCUGACGUUAGCGGCGGACGGGUGAGUAACACGUGGAUAACCUACCUAUAAGACUGGGAUAACUUCGGGAAACCGGAGCUAAUACCGGAUAAUAUAUUGAACCGCAUGGUUCAAUAGUGAAAGACGGUUUUGCUGUCACUUAUAGAUGGAUCCGCGCCGCAUUAGCUAGUUGGUAAGGUAACGGCUUACCAAGGCAACGAUGCGUAGCCGACCUGAGAGAGUGAUCGGCCACACUGGAACUGAGACACGGUCCAGACUCCUACGGGAGGCAGCAGUAGGGAAUCUUCCGCAAUAGGCGAAAGCCUGACGGAGCAACGCCGCGUGAGUGAUGAAGGUCUUCGGAUCGUAAAGCUCUGUUAUUAGGGAAGAACAAAUGUGUAAGUAACUAUGCACGUCUUGACGGUACCUAAUCAGGAAGCCACGGCUAACUACGUG